AAUCCUCUGGAGCGCUUCGGCAACGGAAUUAUUCCACUGCGGCGCCAAGACAGAUCGGCCGUCCUGUCAAGAAGACUGCGAGCUAGUGCAGUGACUGUCGUAUUACUCCUUGCAUGAGCCAGUUGUUGACGGGCAUACAUGUAUUGUUCGCGCGAGUGCACCAAAACUGCUAUUGGCGCCAGAGCAUUUACGUGUUUCUCGCGGCUGAUCGUACACAGCCGCAUCAGUUCAAGCACGGCACGAUACAUAACUGCGGUGGACUUCAAACCUAUGAAAAGAAAACAACGACGAAGAUUCCUGCGAUUAGUGCGUGUAUUGCCUGUGUGCGUGUAUUUCAUGUGCAAGCACCGGCAGUCGCCCGCAUUCGCGCGGUUUGCACUUGGGUAGAUCAUCACUGACUGCGCUAAUCCAAGGACGGCGAAGCACACCGCAGCAAGGCGAUCAUCUCUAUAAACGAGCAGGAACCAGGCUGCCAACACAAGCACGCAGAGCAACUGCCUUUCCAAGUGUGCUGUGUUUGAUGCGCUUGCAUUGGUGUGCAAGUGAAUAACUCCAGUUAAUGUGUUGUGCUGCACUACAAUAGUUGUCACAAUAUUCUGGCUAAGAUGUAUAUCCUACCGCAUCUGACAUCCUAUCAGCUAAAACAUCAUCACUAAAAGCAGUUUGACUGCAUGCAUUUGUCUUCAGAGACACGGUGUAGCUGAAGUGAGAGUAUUUUUUAUCCAGGUUCCUGUUCUUCAGCCAUAUUUAUUAUUAUAGCACGUACCCAUUAAUAAUUUCUGGUCAAUCCAAGUGCCAUCAUUUUUUUCUAAAACAACUUAACAUUAUGCUCGUCUUUUAGCACUUUGGUAGUAUGCAAAUACAGCUUGACCUCUUAUCUUGCAAACAGAAGCAGUAGUAUUGCUUACAAAUAUAUUCUAGACUAACACUCCACCUGUAUUCUAGACAGUAGCCUGUCGGGUGUAGGCACCCGACCAUGUGUAAUGGUAAACCCUUGCAGAGUAUGUGCAGUUUCUGCUCUGGUUUUAGCUUCAGCUUAGGAUGAAUUAUGAGGGUCGCAACAAUGAAUUUCUUCCAUUGGAUAGGGAUGACAGCUGGUUUCCAUAGGGCUUGCAGAACUUCUCCAAUUGACCGAGGAACAAAAUGCAGGGUAGCAGCGUGUCUUGUAGGAUUCCAAAUUAGGCCAAAUGAUGAUGCAGGAUGUCACAAUGAUGAUCCUAAAAGAUACAGUAUAGAGUGCAUCACUACCGUUACUUCAGGCAAGCUGCGAUUAACCAUAAAAUUAUGGAAUAUUUCUUAACGUACACUAGCUCAUGCUACGAAACUGCUGCAGUAAAAAAGCUCACAUCGUAAUCGCAACGCAUCAUGGGCAACUCAUGACUUCGCACAUCAUAAUCAUGAAUAUAUGGUCUCCAAAACAAGCUUAUAUGACAGUUGAACAGGAAUAAAGUAUGCAUUUCAUUUCAUUAUGA